ensembl:misc_RNA Metazoa_SRP Metazoan signal recognition particle RNA
GCUGGGCAUGAUGGCAUGUGCCUGUAGUCCCAGCUACUUGGGGGCUGAGGUGGGAGAAUCACUAGAGCCCAGGAGGUCAAGGCUGCAGUGAGCUGUGAUCGCGCCACUGCACUCCAGCCUGGGUGACAGAGUGAGAACCUGUCUCAA